UACGUAGGGGGCAAGCGUUGUCCGGAUUUAUUGGGCGUAAAGAGCUCGUAGGCGGUUUGGUAAGUCGGGUGUGAAAUCUCCACGCUCAACGUGGAGGGGCCACUCGAUACUGCCAUGACUCGAGUCCGGUAGAGGAGAGUGGAAUUCCUGGUGUAGCGGUGAAAUGCGCAGAUAUCAGGAAGAACACCCGUGGCGAAGGCGGCUCUCUGGGACGGUACUGACGCUGAGGCACGAAAGCGUGGGAGCAAACAGG
rnacentral:rRNA from 1 species